GCCCGCUCAGAAACUUAAAGGAAAUUGACGGGGGAGCACCACAACGGGUGGAGCUUGCGGUUUAAUUGGAUUCAACGCCGGAAAUCUUAUCGGGACCGACAGCAAUAUGAAGGCCAGGCUGAAGACUUUGCCGGAUUAGCUGAGAGGUGGUGCAUGGCCGUCGUCAGUUCGUACUGUGAAGCAUCCUGUUAAGUCAGGCAACGGGCGAGACCCACGCCCACAGUUGCCAGCGUACUCUCCGGAGUGACGGGUACACUGUGGGGACCGCCGCUGCUAAAGCGGAGGAAGGAAUGGGCAACGGUAGGUCAGUAUGCCCCGAAUAUCCCGGGCUACACGCGAGCUACAAUGGUUGGUACAAUGGGUAUCUACCCCGAAAGGGGACGGGAAUCUCCUAAAACCAAUCUUAGUUCGGAUUGAGGGCUGCAACUCGCCCUCAUGAAGCUGGAAUCCGUAGUAAUCGCGUUUCAACAGAACGCGGUGAAUACGUCCCUGCUCCUU
rnacentral:rRNA from 1 species